GCAGUGGCGCCCGCUGCAGGGGGCUGCACCCACUGCGGUGACCAAUGGGUCUUCUGAGGAGUUACCGGCUGGAGUCAUCUACAAGGUCAAAGCCAUGCAUGACUACGCUGCCACCGAUGGAGACGAGCUGGAGAUGAAAGCAGGAGAUGUUGUGCUGGUCCUGGCCUGGGAGAAUCCUGAUGAGCAGGAUGAUGGCUGGCUCAUGGGCGUGAAGGAAUCUCAUUGGCUGGAGAA